rnacentral:rRNA from 1 species
UUUCAGCGGGGAGGAAGGCGGUGAGGUUAAUAACCUCACCGAUUGACGUUACCCGCAGAAGAAGCACCGGCUAACUCCGUGCCAGCAGCCGCGGUAAUACGGAGGGUGCAAGCGUUAAUCGGAAUUACUGGGCGUAAAGCGCACGCAGGCGGUCUGUCAAGUCGGAUGUGAAAUCCCCGGGCUCAACCUGGGAACUGCAUUCGA